rnacentral:lncRNA from 1 species
UCGAGUUGGUUUUUUUAAGUUAAAAUCAAACCAAUCCAAAUAUAGUCGGGGUUUUUUUCUAUACCAAACCAAAUCAAACCAAACCACUAGUCAGGUCUUUUUUUCAGUUUGACUCGAUUUACAGUUUAAUUCGAUUUUCGAUCAGUAACCCGACCCAACCCACUAUUCAAUCUGCAAAGACCCAGCCCACAAAUCCAAUUCAAUACCAACAACAAUACAACAACAAUUCCUCAAUACAAUACAAUUCCAAAAGACCCUAUAGCAAACUGACCCGACCCCUGUACAUUUCUUCCUAGCGAGAAACUGCAAACCCGUA